rnacentral:tRNA from 1 species
GCCAGUGUAGCUCAGUGGUAGAGCAGCUCAUUCGUAAUGAGCAGGUCGUCGGUUCGACCCCGACCACUGGCUCCA